CCGCGUCACUUCCGGUGCGACCGCGUCAGUAUAGGGCUGCAUGACGUGUCUCUCACACCGGAAGUGACUGAGUCUCAUCUUUAUAGACGGACUGACAGCGGAGUGAGCGUUAUACAGAGUGAGCGUUAUACAGUGAGCGUUAUACAGAGUGAGGAUGGAGGGGGGGUCAGUGAGUGUAAUACAGAGUGAGGAUGGAGGGGGGGNNNNNNNNNNNNNNNNNNNNNNNNNNNNNNNNNNNNNNNNNNNNNNNNNNNNNNNNNNNNNNNNNNNNNNNNNNNNNNNNNNNNNNNNNNNNNNNNNNNNGUAAUAACCUUUGUUUCUUUCCUAGCAGAAUGAUCACAGACGUGCAGCUUGCUAUAUUUGCCAACAUGCUUGGUGUGUCCCUUUUCCUCCUGGUGGUUUUAUAUCACUACGUGUCUGUGAACAAUCCAAAGAAGCUGGAGUGAUUGCAAUCACAGGGUAAGGAUGAGUGAAGCUCUAACAGUCAAUGUGAUUUUAAUGGAAUAUUGUAAAUUAUUUUUUGUUAUUGAGUUUUAAUGAAAAUAGAAAACGUAGGUGCUCAUAUUGAGAAAAGGUUCAGUUAACAGAGAUCCAUAAUAUUGUUUAAAAUAAAACGUAGCGUAUCGUAUAGUGUGAUAUCUGCACUAUGUGGGGCUAAUGUCUCCUACAUAUACCGCUGUGACGAAAGCCACUUCGCCACUGGUUCUUGUAGAGGACUAAUGGCUCGCCUUUUGCCUUGUGGCUAUGGCCCUUUAUUAGACUCUGGUUCAGGACUGGGGAAAGACUGUUGUUCGUGCCUGUCACGAGCGUGGGCUAUAGGCCCAGCCGAGACAGUGGGGAGAGUGUGGAAGUGACAGGGUUAAUGACACCAGACCCCUGGUGACCUGUUGCUAGUCCUAGCAACCACUCAAUUAACCCCUGCAAUCCCUUCUACACUAACCCCCCUAGUACACACUUUACUGCCACCACUAAGACUUUAAACCCGGGCGUCUUAGGUUACCCCACACACAGGAGAAUUAUAGAAUUACAGUUCUACUUUUACUGAUCAAACACAUAUAAUUAACCCUUUUUGGUAACGUCUUUACCUGAGCUUUCUUCUGGAGAGUGAAACUCAUAGAGAACAGACACAAGCUGAUUAAGUAAACAUUUUAAUCUCACAAAAAAGAUUCACAGUGCUGAGUACAAAAUACAGAAAUAAAUGACAUACAGAUAACAAAUUGCAAAACAGUAAUUAAAAUAAAAUAGGAGAAAACACAAGAAAUUCCUUACAUGUAGUUACCCCAUAUAGAAUUCUUGUGGGAGUCUUAGAUGGUAUAGGUCUCCUAGAAGUUGCAAGACCACAAUAAAUGUCAUCCCAAGGUUUACAAAAAACAACUCUUAACAUAUAUACACACAUCAAACACCAACUCAUGCUUUUGGCAUGACAGUGCCUUUUCCCUGCAAUGGUUCAGUGCUGCAAAAUGGGCACAAACCAAGUACUGAGUCCAUAUGCAGCUUAUACUUCUCAGAGGUCCGAUAUUGUUCUAUGUACACUCCUUGUUUUAUUGAUUGCAUGUAAUAUUCUAAUUUACUGAGAUUGUGGAUUUGGGGUUUUCAUGAGCUGUAAAUCAUGAUCAUCGCACUUAUGACAAAUCACGGCUUUAACCAUCUUGCUUUGCAUGUAAUGCGUCUCUCAUAUAUUUCCCAUUUUACGUUGCAUUACUGAAAUAAAUGAACUUUUGCACGAUAUUCAAAUUUUUUGAGUAUCACCUGUAUACCGCCCGUCCCAUUCCUCUCCUACCUGUAUACCGCCCGUCCCAUUCUUCUCCUACCUGUAUACCGCCCAUCUCAUACAUGAGCAUUGAAACCAAAGCUUUGCGUUUGGCGGCGUCAUGUUCUGCACAAUGAUACCGAAUAUGAAGACUGUCGUCUUAACGAGGUCGUGGCUGUCAGUCUGACUGAUAUCAGAAGUGUCUUUCCAGACAAAUGUAAACAUUUCAGUUUUUCAGAAGUGGGAAUGGUGGUUGUUUUUGUUUUUUUGUAUUUUUUUUUUUUUUUUGUAUGAAGUUAGGGAUAGCAUGUGUGCACCACAACCACUGCAGUAAGCUGAAGUGAUUUUGGUACUUUGUGUCCCUCUAAAAUCCAUCAAGUAUACAUAUGUCUCUAGACUCUCUUAGUGGCGGUAUUUUCCACAAUGCACUAUUCCCUAUUAUGUAGUCUCUAAUAUACAAAGUACUGUGUUCUGUAAACCUAUCCGUGUAUGUUUUACAGAUGGUGUAUUUGACCGUCACAAUCAGAUCCAAUGCUGGAGAAGAGACUGUGCACGCAUAUCCCGUCCCCUGGCGCACUACUGUAGAUAUGUUUUCUAAUGUCAUUUCCUGAACCAGAAUAAAUGAUGUCUUUGUUUAAAGCUAUGUUAGUGUUUGUCUGUUUGACAGGUAAAGGUAGUGGAUGUAUGUCACACUCGCUCUGCUAAUUAAUGUUACAGGUCAGAUUCAGUGCAUGUUCCAUGUGUGGAUCUCGAUUCUAAUAUAUUGUGUAGAGUACAGAAGAUAUACUCUAUUAUUACAUCCCUUUCUAAAGGGAACAAAGUUUUCAUUUAUAGUUUAUUCAUUACAAACCUGUUUUGAUUCCUCAUUACAAAAUCCCAAUGAAGAGGAAAAAAAGUAAAAUAUUCCUCUGGGGACUAAUAAGACAUUAAAUGUAAGCUAUUUGGGUUAUUCACUGAAGUGAGAAUUGCAGGGAAUGCAAAUAGAAGGCCAAAGUAGCCAAACUGGAGAGCUGACUGGGAUAAUGGUUUUCAGUUCAGCUAUUUAGACUUGAAAUUGAUCCUGUAAAUCUCUCCUUACAGGAAGUGUUAUGAAGGCUGUGUGAGUCAGAGCAGGAGUCCAAUUCUAAAUAAAACAAUUUGCAAUAAAGGAAGUGUAAACAUUAGAUCUAUCUUUACAGGAAGUGUUUAGGAAGGCUGUAUAGACAGUGAUUUAACUCCUAAAUGGCAGAAUUGAGCAGCGACACUGCCGGGGUACGAUCUAUACAUUGAGACUGCUUCAUUAAGCCUAAGUUGUUUUGGUGACUUAUGUACCUUAAAGGUUAAAAAAGCUAAGUUGGAAACAUUCUCUAACUCACCCAAGCUGUUCAGCUACGCAGGACUUAGAUGGGAAAUUCACUUUGAAUUCUCACCUUCGUAAAUAAACAAGAGAAUAUCUCAGCACAGUACUCACCUAAAUGAUGGCCUUGACAUUGGCAGGUGAGCUUAUAUGUUGCUACAUAAAACCUCAGGAAGGUUCAGCAUUUGUAAGUGUUUUGGUUUGUUUUGCCAUUGGUGCAGAGUGAAGGGCCAAUGCUGUUUUAAUGGCUCUCGUAGACCAGUUGGCUGUGGGAUAAGUACAAGGCUCUCAAAGUGAAUUUUAAAUUAAAGGCCAGAAUAUCCAAGCUGGAAAUAUUCAAGUUAUCUUUGCUUCCAGUUUGGCUACUUUGAAUUUUUUGACAAUUCUCACUUUUGGGAAAAAGCCUGUGGACAAAAUAGAAGAUGACACCGUGGAAGAAAACGUGGCCUGGUGCUGGG
rnacentral:lncRNA from 1 species